UUCCGGUUGAUCCUGCCGGAGGACACUGCUAUCAGAGUACGCCUAAGCCAUGCAAAUCUGCCCACCGACUUCGGUGGACGGUGUACGGCUCAGUAACAAGUAGUCAAUCUGCCCUUCGGACUGGCAUACCCUCGGGAAACUGAGGUUAAUUCCGGAUGGCCCAUCUCUGCUGGAAUGCUUGAUGGGCAAAACGCGCGGCGAAUCGGAGCCGUUGUGCCGAAGGAUGAGACUGCUCCUGAUUAGGUAGUUGGUGAGGUAACGGCUCACCAAGCCGAUAAUCAGUAGGGGCAAUGGGAGUUGGAGCCCCGAGAAGGGCACUGAGACAAGGGCCCUAGUCCUACGGGAUGCAGCAGGCGCGAAACCUUUACAAUGCGCGAAAGCGUGAUAGGGGAACUCUGAGUGCAAGCCGGCUUUUGCCGACUUGCUUUUGGCGAACUUAAAACGUUCGCAGAAUAAGUUCUGGGUAAGACCAGUGCCAGCCGCCCAUUGCUUUGCACAAAGCGCACGGUACGCGGUAAUACUGGCAGAACAAAGUGGUGCCCACGAAUAUUGGGUCUAAAGAGACCGUAGCUGGCCUGUUAAGUCCACUGUGAAAUCUUGGGGCUCAACCUCAAGGCGUGCAGUAGAUACUGGCAGGCUCGAGAGCGGGGGAGGUCAGGGGUACUUACGGGGUAAGAGUAAAAUCUGUUGAUCCUGUAAGGACCACCAGUGGCGAAGGCGCCUGACCAAAACGCGUCUGACAGUGAGGGUCGAAGGCUAGGAGAACGAAUCGGAUUAGAUACCCGAGUAGCCCUAGCAGUAAAUCAUGCAGACUGUGGUGUUGCCGCGGCUUCGGGCCACGGCAGUGCUGUAGCGUAGGUGUUAAGUCUGCCACCUGGGGAGUACGGCCGCAAGGUUGAAACUUAAAGGAAUUGGCGGG
rnacentral:rRNA from 1 species